rnacentral:tRNA from 2 species
AAAGGUAAUUAGGAAUAAAAUAAAGCUGCUAACUUUAUUUUGAGCAACUCAAAACUGUUCUACCUUUUCCA